rnacentral:rRNA from 1 species
CGUAGAACCUUACCUGGGUUUGACAUGGAUCGGGAGUGCUCAGAGAUGGGUGUGCCUCUUUUGGGGUCGGUUCACAGGUGGUGCAUGGCUGUCGUCAGCUCGUGUCGUGAGAUGUUGGGUUAAGUCCCGCAACGAGCGCAACCCUUGUUCACUGUUGCCAGCACGUUAUGGUGGGGACUCAGUGGAGACCGCCGGGGUCAACUCGGAGGAAGGUGGGGAUGACGUCAAGUCAUCAUGCCCCUUAUGUCCAGGGCUUCACGCAUGCUACAAUGGCUGGUACAGAGAGUGGCGAGCCUGUGAGGGUGAGCGAAUCUCGGAAAGCCGGUCUCAGUUCGGAUUGGGGUCUGCAACUCGACCUCAUGAAGUCGGAGUCGCUAGUAAUCGCAGAUCAGCAACGCUGCGGUGAAUACGUUCCCGGGCCUUGUACACACCGCCCGUCACGUCAUGAAAGUUGGUAACACCCGAAGCCCAUGGCCUAACCGGCUUUGCCGGGGGGAGUGGUCGAAG